AGUGGCGAACGGGUGAGUAAAGUAUCGGAACGUGCCCAGUCGUGGGGGAUAACGUAGCGAAAGUUACGCUAAUACCGCAUACGAUCUAUGGAUGAAAGCGGGGGAUCGCAAGACCUCGCGCGAUUGGAGCGGCCGAUAUCAAAUUAGGUAGUUGGUGGGGUAAAGGCUCACCAAGCCAACGAUCUGUAGCUGGUCUGAAAGGACCACCACCCACACUGGGACUGAGACACGGCCCACACUCCUACGGGAGGCAGCAGUGGGGAAUUUUGGACAAUGGGCGCAAGCCUGAUCCAGCCAUGUCGCGUGCAGGAUGAAGGCCUUCGGGUUGUAAACUGCUUUUGUACGGAACGAAAAGGUUUGGCCUAAUAAGCUGAGCUCAUGACGGUACCGUAAGAAUAAGCACCGGCUAACUACGUGCCAGCAGCCGCGGUAAUACGUAGGGUGCGAGCGUUAAUCGGAAUUACUGGGCGUAAAGCGUGCGCAGGCGGUUAUGUAAGACAGAUGUGAAAUCCCCGGGCUCAACCUGGGAACUGCAUUAGUGACUGCAUAGCUGGAGUACGGCAGAAGGGGGGAUGGAAUUUCCGCGUGUAGCAGUGAAAUGCGUAGAUAUGCGGGAGGAACACCGACGGCGAAGGCCAUCCCCCUGUGUCUGUACUGACGCUCAUGCACGAAAGCGUGGA
rnacentral:rRNA from 1 species